rnacentral:misc_RNA from 1 species
GAUGAAGAACGUAGUGAAAUGCGAUAAGUAGUGUGAAUUGCAGAAUUCAGUGAAUCAUCGAAUCUUUGAACGCACAUUGCGCCUUCUAGUAUUCUGGGAGGCAUGCCUGUUUGAGCGUCAUUAAACCUCUCUCAAGUAUGAUUACUUGGAUGUGAAGGAAGAGUACCUUAAACUUAAGGAGUGUUCUCCUUUGAAAUUGAUUAGCAGAUGGUAAUGUUAUUAAAUCCCUGAUGUUGUAAGAAAUAACAGUGGUUUUGUAGACUAUUAUCUAGCUUUAAAUUAUAAUUUUUAUUAUGGUUGACCUCAAAUCAGGUAAGGAUACCCGCUGAACUUAAGCAUAUCAAUAAGCGGAGG